rnacentral:rRNA from 1 species
AGGUGCUGCAUGGCUGUCGUCAGCUCGUGUCGUGAGAUGUUGGGUUAAGUCCCGCAACGAGCGCAACCCUUACUUUUAGUUGCCACCAUUUAGUUGAGCACUCUGAAAGAACUGCCAGUGAUAAGCUGGAGGAAGGUGGGGAUGACGUCAAGUCCUCAUGGCCCUUACGUGUUGGGCUACACACGUGCUACAAUGGCACUCACAAUAGGAAGCAAAGAGGCGACUCUAAGCAAAUCCUAAAAAAGUGCCUCAGUUCGGAUUGUACUCUGCAACUCGAGUACAUGAAGCUGGAAUUGCUAGUAAUCGCGGAUCAGCGCGCCGCGGUGAAUACGUUCCCGGGUCUUGUACACACCGCCCGUCACA